rnacentral:rRNA from 1 species
UACGUAGGGUGCGAGCGUUAAUCGGAAUUACUGGGCGUGAAGCGUGGGCAGGCGGCUUUGCAAGACAGAUGUGAAAUCCCCGGGCUCAACCUGGGAACUGCAUGUGUGACUGCAAGGCUAGAGUACGGCAGAGGGGGAUGGAAUUCCGCGUGUAGCAGUGAAAUGCGUAGAUAUGCGGAGGAACACCAAUGGCGAAGGCAAUCCCCUGGGCCUGUACUGACGCUCAUGCACGAAAGCGUGGGGAGCAAACAGG